UUUUUUAAAAAUAAAUAAUAAAAAAAAAUAAAGUAUGGUUUAGUAACACCAAAAUAUGGGUUUUGAAAUCUUUUCAAGUUCUACUAGGUGAACUGUUGUCAUUGAAAACAAGAGACGAACGAAUGCCUUUUAAUGGUAGAUAAGUUUUAGGCACGUUUAAUAUAUUUGUCUUGAUUAAGAAUGCGAAAUACGCAUCUUUUUAAGACAUUAAAAAAUAAUUCGAGGAUGCAAUAAUGCACCUCGAUAAAGAACGUCCUAAAAAUUAGUUAACUUUCACUAGCUUAAUACAAGAGGUAUAGACAACAGACAUUAAAGAUGAGCGAUUUAAAUCCUGCAAACAUAAUUUAUCCAAAAUAGUUAAAGCUAAGUAUAAGUUGAUAAAAGAGACCGUGCUUAAACCACGGGACUCAAGGGGUGCCUCACACCUUCCCCUCGGUCAACAGAAUUUCUUACCUGGUCUUCUAUUUCCGCAGAUCAAUAAAGAGUCAUUUUCUUUUGAUUGGGGAUUCAAUAAGGUGACUUGGAACACCAUAACUCAAUUUCAAGUGGCGACUUUGUAAUUAAAAUAAUCCCUAUUCAAUAACGUCACUUUAAUUUAAAAAAACCUUCAACUCAAUCCUUGGACGAAAAAGGGGUGCGACAGUAUCAAGAGUAGAUGAAUAUACCAUCGUUGUCGGAAGCCAUGUGAAUUCCUCUACUGGAUGCAUUAAGAAGUAUGAAGCAUAUUACUCUCAUCAAUGAGCGUACAUACACCAAGAAAAAAAAUGUUGAAGAUACUUGCAGUUAGAUGGAAGUCAUGAGAGAACCUCAAGAAAAUCACCUUGAAGUUGAAUCAACCGAGCAUGAAAGUCCACUUAUAGUGUUUGAUCGGUCAAACUAAAGCUAACACACUACUGGCCAAAAGAUAAAAUUUCAAAACUUAAAAAGCCAACAAUUUGGUAUAGUGUCAAGGCUAGACAUCAGAUAAUGUUUCAUUUUUUCUUUUGAAGAAUGGUAUAAAGUGGAGGUGUAUUGGAUCCACUGAUGAAUAGAGAAGAAGCAGUAGUGUGGGAAGACAAUUUUGAUUUUGUUUUCAAAAAUAUCAAACUAAGAAGACGUGCGUGAGUGGGAGUUUUGAGAUUUGCUAAGACGUGGGAUACUGGGGUUUUAAUUAUCCUAUUAAUAUGAUGGCAGUUUAGGAA